GUCGAUGUGGUGAAAUGGUAGACACGCAUGUUUCAGGAGCAUGUAGAGCAAUCUGUGGGGGUUCAAGUCCCCCCAUCGACA
rnacentral:tRNA from 1 species